AGAAUUUUGUGGUUAAAUGAGCUAUAGCUUAACAUUCCUUGGAUAAAAUUAGAUUUAAAUAUAAUUUUUGUUUAAAGUACUUAUAUUGCUCCUUGAAUUGAUUUUGAUGAUUACAAAGCAUUUGAGGAGAUUACUAAUGAUUUUGGCUUGGAAAAAGACUUAUUGCAUUUCAAAGGCAAAAUCGUAAUUUUAUCAAGACCUGAUUCAGAAGCCUCAAGAG
rnacentral:lncRNA from 1 species